rnacentral:rRNA from 1 species
AUUGAACGCUGGCGGCAGGCCUAACACAUGCAAGUCGAGCGGAUGAAGGGAGCUUGCUCCUGGAUUCAGCGGCGGACGGGUGAGUAAUGCCCAGGAAUCUGCCUGGUAGUGGGGGAUAACGUCCGGAAACGGGCGCUAAUACCGCAUACGUCCUGAGGGAGAAAGUGGGGGAUCUUCGGACCUCACGCUAUCAGAUGAGCCUAGGUCGGAUUAGCUAGUUGGUGGGGUAAAGGCCUACCAAGGCGACGAUCCGUAACUGGUCUGAGAGGAUGAUCAGUCACACUGGAACUGAGACACGGUCCAGACUCCUACGGGAGGCAGCAGUGGGGAAUAUUGGACAAUGGGCGAAAGCCUGAUCCAGCCAUGCCGCGUGUGUGAAGAAGGUCUUCGGAUUGUAAAGCACUUUAAGUUGGGAGGAAGGGCAGUAAGUUAAUACCUUGCUGUUUUGACGUUACCAACAGAAUAAGCACCGGCUAGCUUCGUG